GUACUACUGAAGAGUCCCAAACUAGGACCAAACUGCUGUCCAGUAC
rnacentral:hammerhead_ribozyme from 1 species